rnacentral:tRNA from 1 species
CAGAAUGUAGUUUAACGAGGAUUUUGGCUUUGGGGGCCAAUGGUGGUGGUGAAAGACCGCCCUUUCUGA